UUGAGGAGUUGGAAGACACCUUUAACACAGCUGGUCAUUAUGCCGACCGGGUGUCCGCGCUAAGUUCGGUAUCAAUAUGGUGACCUCCUGGGAGCAGGAGGCCAUCAGGUUGCCUAAAGAUGGGAGAACUGGCCCAGGUCAGAAAGGGACCAGGUCAGGACUCCGGCACCAAUCGGUAGUGGGACUGUGCCUGGGCAGUAUAGCAAGAUCUU
rnacentral:sRNA from 10 species